GAGGGUGUAGCUCAGUGGUAGAGCGCAUGCUUUGCAUGCAUGAGGUUCCGGGUUCGAUCCCCGGCAUCUCCA
rnacentral:tRNA from 1 species